rnacentral:rRNA from 1 species
GGUAGAGCACUGUUUCGACUAGAGAUCCAUCCCGGAUUAUCAAUUCGAUGCAAACUCCGAAUACCAUAGAAUACAAUCAUAGGAGACACACGGCGGGUGCUAACGUCCGUCGUGGAAAGGGAAACAACCCAGAUCGCCAGCUAAGGUCCCUAAAUUAUGAUUAAGUGGGAAACGAUGUGAGAAGUCUUAGACAACCAGGAUGUUGGCUUAGAAGCAGCUAUCAUUUAAAGAAAGCGUAAUAGCUCACUGGUCGAGUCAACUUGCGCGGAAGAUUUAACGGGGCUAAAUCAUAUACCGAAGCUGCGACAAUAAUAUUAUUUAUUAUUGGGUAGGGGAGCGUUCUGUAAGCCUGUGAAGAUAUAUUGUAAAAUAUAUUGGAGGUAUCAGAAGAGCGAAUGCUGACAUAAGUAACGAUAAAGCAGGUGAAAAACCUGCUCGCCGAAAGACCAAGGGUUCCUGUUCAACGUUAAUCGAAGCAGGGUAAGUCGACACCUAAGGCGAGGCUGUAAAGCGUAGUCGAUGGAAAACUGGUUAAUAUUCCUGUACUAGUUAUAACUGCGAAGGGGGGACGAAGAAAGCUAGAUUCUCCAGGCGACGGUUGUUCCUGG